UCUAAUGUGGCAGAGUAGUGCUGUGGGUUUAAGCCCCACCCAGAAAGAUUUAUCUUUCGUUAGAA
rnacentral:tRNA from 1 species